rnacentral:rRNA from 1 species
UACGGAGGGUGCAAGCGUUACUCGGAAUCACUGGGCGUAAAGGAUGCGUAGGCGGUUUAUUAAGUCUUGUGUGAAAUCCUACAGCUUAACUGUAGAACUGCAUGGGAAACUGAUAAACUAGAGUAUAAGAGAGGCAGGUGGAAUUUCUAGUGUAGGGGUAAAAUCCGUAGAGAUUAGAAGGAAUACCGAUGGCGAAGGCG